rnacentral:lncRNA from 1 species
CUCAAUCUUCAAUUCAAUAUAGAGUUAUACAUUACAAUCAACAUCUCCAGCCUACAUCCUUCCAUUACAAUAGUGUUGCCUAACAAUUCUACUGAUCAGCUGAUUCACAGGUCCACAGUGGUAGCAGCAGCAGGAAAUUCCAUCAGUUGAGCAGCAGCAACAGGGGACUCAGCAACAAGGGACCCUAUCACACUUGAUAUUAUGAGGUUACCUUUUUGAGACCAGGUGGGUUGAUCGCGUUAGCUGCCAGUUUAUGCUAGUAUAACUACAAUGGCAUCAUCUUCUUAGAAUCCUGUGUCUGUGGAUCCAAGAUGCUGUCAAAAAAUGUUAUUUGCUUCUCAGAAGUGAUUUUUUCCUGUAAUCUCCAUUCCGAUCCCUUCCCCUGCCAAAAUGUUGUCAUCAAGUGGAAAGUCUUUUAACUUUCAAGUAUAAUGUGUUCUACAGUUGGGAUGUCCUUCAAGUAUGAUGCUUCUUGAGUAGACUGCUGAUCAAAUAUGGUAUUGAUGGUUGGAAAGAGAAAAGACUUUACACUUUAUUUACUUAACUGGAAACUUAUGAUGCACCGACACAGACAUGUGUGUCCGACAUGAUACGCGUCGGAUGCGUCGAUAUAUGAUUUUUCAAAAAAGUGCCGACACGGCAUGUUGAUUAAUUUUUUUAAAAUUCUUCAUUUAUAUAUUAUAACUUUAACUUUAUACAUGUUAUUGAUUUUUCUUGUUGAAAUUUUUUAAAUAUAAGUACUUAUUUGUUAUUUAUUAAUAACUUUGAGUUAAAAAAAUAUAUAAUAACUAUAGUAUGAAAGAAAAAUGAUUAUUGCAGAGUGCCAGUAUCGACAUGUGUCGGACACAUACACGUUACCCUAGUUAAAUUGUUUGUGCUAUAGAGCUGGAAACUACCUGUGCCAUUUUCUAGCUGAAGGAUUCUUUUUUCCUUAAUUAGAAGUAACCAAGUCCAAAUAUGUUUCCAUUGCCAUAUUUGCAUAUGUAAUCACUGCAUAUCAGAGCUUCACGAUGGGAAUGUUUCUCGUGAGGUUUAAGUCAGUGAGAAAGUAAUGUUGAGCUCAAAAAAGAUGCAUCUGAUCUUGAAAUUAUCAGUUGAUGAAUGUCUUAACAGACAAUGGCUCACACAUUUUCUGGAGACAUUCAUUCUUAUAUGUCUUAACAGACAUUCCUUCUCUUAACAUUGUCGUGAUAUUUUUCUUAUAUCAAUCUGCCAUAGAUAAAUCUGUAUGCUUCUCGUCAUUCAAGUUUUGUUGAUUCAACUUCAUUUAGAUAAAAUAGAGUUCUCAUAUAUCAGCAACACGUGAUUAGGGAGAGAAAUCAGCAGACGAAUUGGAUUUUGGAGUGGUUUCAAAUGCAGCCAGUCAUUACAUAAUAAGGAAAUAGUUAAGGACCUCUUUAUAGGUUAUUUUUCGUGCUUCCCGUUGUGCACAGCUUGGCUUUUUUGCCAAUUGACCCCGGUGGAAACUAAUUGUUUCUUGAGUUCUAUAGUUGGCCUGGACUAGAGAAAGAGUUCAUACAUUACAUACAUAUUUAUUCAAUUGUAUAUAGUCUGUUGUAAAGUAAUCUACAUAUGGUUGGAAACUCAAUGUAAUUAGCUCGUACAUUUUACGUACAAUUUCUUUAUAGAAUUUUUGAUAAAAAGCUAUCAUAACUCAAUGAUUUGUAAGCUAAGACUCACGAAUUAAAAUACAAUAUGAUACAGGUACGUAGAUACAGGUUUUUUUAAAAAGAAUUAGGAUAUGCGGAUACAUGUGUAUAUAUAUGGACACUUUAAAAUUCCGUAUAAUUUCAUUAAUAUAAAAAAAUUAAAACAAAAACAUGAUAAUAAAAAUAAAAUAAAGUAUUAAAACAUUUUAUCUUAAUCCUUAAUUGUCAUUACUUCAUUUUCUUCAAUAUUGUCAACAUCAUCUUCUUCAUUAUCAUUAAAAAUAAUAUUCUCUAAUGCUGACCAUCUAAUGAUAAAUUAACAACCUCGAGUAGUCCAACUCCUUCAAAAGUAUUAAAUGAGUCUCAUACAAUGUCCUACAUUUUGAAUUCUCCUUUUGAAUAGAUAUUUAAUACUAUUCUCUAUUUUCAAUAAUAAAAAUAUAUUUAUCAACUAUUUAUACGGUUUUACAUGUAAUAAAAUAUUUAAUACUAUUAUUUAUUUCCAAUAAAAAACUCUAGUUUUCAAUUAAAUUAAAACUCUAUUUGGGUAUUUUCAAUAAAGAUUAUUUAUUUUCAAUAAGUUAUUGAUAACAACAAUAGUUAUCUAUUAAGUAAUUUUAUUUUUUUUCGGUCAAUCUAUGGUCAAUAAAACUCUUCUUUACAUGUCCUAACAUAUCUGACACACAUCGAAAAUAAUUAAAAGACGUAAAAUAAUUAAAAAAUACAUAUACGAUACAUAUAAAAAAUUUAAAAAUUGUGAAAAAAUAUAAAAUAAUUAAAAAAACAUAUAUCCGAUAUGUAUUAGAGCAUAUCAAAGAAUAUCCAAGUUUGGAUACGGUACAUGAUAAGUUAACAAGUAUCCGUGCUUCUUAGUUUGUAAGUGGCAUUAUGAAUCAACUACAAAAUGUUUGUGGAUAAUGUGCUGGUGAAUUGUGCAAUCAUCAUAUCGAAUAAUUAAGGUCUCUAAAGGUUUAAAAUAGAUCAUCAGUGGACUUACAGAAUUUGUCUUUCAAAUUUUUGUUAAGCCAAGAAAUCCAUAUUCAAUAGGAAAGAAGGAAGAUGAUUCCAAACAUGUGCCAAAUAAAACUAGUUUAGAAAAUUCCCAAAUAAAUUAAUUUAUCAAAGCAAGGUAUAAAUUCAGUAACUCAUGAAUAGAAGGACAUAAUGUUACUUAUCCUUCGUACCUGAUUCCCCUACAUCAGUUAUAUUCUUAUUUGCUUAAGCUUGCAUCAGUUUGAAUGGGCUGUGAUAUGUAUUUAAUAAAUUCACAUUUUCUACAUGAGGGGGAACUUGAUGUUCACAUCGCUACAUUUGGGACCAUCUCUUUUUCUUCUUUCAUGCAGUUCUUUAUUUUGCAAGUUUGAUAUAUUGAACUAGCUUUUUAUGGAAACUUCAUGGAACUAAAAAAGAAAUAAAACAUUGAUGAGGCUGGAGAAUGCGUCUGAUUGGUUGAAGUUAUGUUUAUAUAUUACAGUACAGUCCUUGCCGUACCAGUGUGCACAUCAAUUGUCACUUCAUAGUUGUGAUGUUGAAUGGUUGGAUGUAUGCCCACAAUUUCCUGUGGCAUAAGACGAUGAUGUUUUAUACAGAUGUACAUCAUACUUGGCCACGAAGAACUCAACAGUUUGAUGACCAAUUAGGUAAUAACUAUCAGGCAUCACAUCACUUUACGUAUGCACACCAGAGAGUUUCUUUUUGCACAAGGUAUUAUUCAUCAAUCUGUCUCUGUACUAUGUAUAUGUCAAGUCCAGUCAUUUUUAGCCUGCAGUCAAUAUAUGUUCUGCUAACCUGCUGGAUCUGGCUUCAAACUAUCACCUUCAAGAUACUAUAUUCUCCAUCUUCUACUAAGAAUACACUAAGCCCCUGCUUGGCCCCCAUUAUUUGAAUUUAUAAUGGGGGGAAUAGUAGUUUUUUGAAGAUUGUGUGGUUGAAAGUAGGAGAAAGAAAAAAUUAAAUUAAAUUGAAGAGUUUUAAAGGGGGCCAAAUUGAAGAGUUUUAAAGGGGGCCAAACGGGGGCUAAAUUUUGAAUCUACACCCUUGAUCAUAUGCUUCUACACAAUGCUUGAAAUAAAUUAUUUUAUUAGCAACAUAUUGGCAUAAUAACAUACAAGCUAAGCCUUAUUCUUGAUAUCUCAGAGCUAGGUGCAUAAUCCUUUUUGCCAUUUGACUUAGUUGAGACUGAGAACUGUAAGGAAGUGUAAUCUUCAAUCACCAAGACGAUAUACAGGCUCAGUAACCAAAAACCCGAAUCAAUACCAAAACAAACGACCCAAGAACACCACAAAGGUUUCACCUACGGUUGCUAGACCUUUGCCACUUAGAGACCACCACAAAGGAGGAGAAAUAUCACCAAGAUAUCAACACAAAGAGAAGCAGAAGGCAGUAGAGUACAGGGUCGAGAGAGAGCAUGCAGAGAUGAAGAAGAGAGACACCAAGUCUUGUUUCUCAAAAGUGGCGUGCAAGACCAAGUGAAUAAAUAUUGGGUCAAGUCACAAAUAAGGUAAGUUAGGUCUAGGUAAUGGGUCGUGGCCCAAUAACACAUAGUAGAAUAUAGAGUGGGCCUCAAGUAUAGCUAGUCAUCCAAGUAGGUAGAAAAUAUGACCCAUGAGAAACACAAUAAAAUUGGUUGCUUCAAAUGGUCCAAUCACUUUUUGGGUUGGGUCGUUCAAAUUUUGAUAUUGAUAUGUCGUUCAGUCAUAUUGCAAAUGCCGAUUCAUAAUUAAUAACCGGUUUAUAUCAUCGCCGGGAAGGUCGUUUGACAACAAUAUGUCUAACAAGAACUACCACUUGUAAAAUUCCAAGGUAAUCUUUUACAAUCACUGUAGGGCACAUUAAUUUUGGUCUAAAUAUCCAUCUUUUAACCUAUAUCAUUGAGAUUUCAUCUCUUUUCUGAAUCAGAGCUUCUAUAGGGCUACGCAUAAUCCUUUUUGCCAUUUGACAUUGAUUUUUUUUUAUGAAGACUUUUGAUUAGAGAAGCAACCUUUGCUGUCUUGCCUUGUGAAAGAUUUCUACCACAAUAUUAUAUAUUCCUCACUGUCCUUUUUGUGCAUUCCUAAUAUUGCAUUGGUUUUCCUCUGACAUGUUCACUGAAGCGUUUGGAUUCUAAAAUUAUGAUUCUGGUCUCACAGAUGUUAGGAUCACUGAAGCUUAUGGGUUUCUGCAGUUAUGAUUCUAGGCUCAUGAAAUUAUUUGUUAUGUUACUUCCUCUGUUGUCAACAGCCAGAGAGUGGCCUCUAUGAUGUGAUCAAAGUUGACAAACAAACAAAAUAAUGAUAAAAGAAGUAAAAAGCACAAAUAUAGUGACGUGGGUAGAAAAUGGACAUUAGGAAUCACAGAUGUCAUCUCAAAAGGAUAAAGACAGGGAGCAAACAACAGCUGGACAUCCCUCACUGCAUUAGCAAGACCAGCUGACCUGGUAUGAAAUGUCUUUUUACCAUCUUAACGUGUAUACAAAUAAUUUCAAGUAAUUUGAUUGAAAGAUACAUUUUCUUUGCCAAUUUAAUUUGUCUUAUUAUACACCACUGCUGGUCUCUGGUCAAUUGUCAUAUAAAUAAAAGAAAUGGCCAAAGGUGUUUUUGUGCUGGUCAACAAGCACGUACAUUUUUACCAAUAUUUAAAAGCUUAUCAAACCACAAGCCAUGUUUGACGAAGUCUUCCCUUUUUCAACAUGAAUGGAGAUAAGAAAUGAAUACCAUCCUUUUUUAUAUGUUCAUGUUAUGGUUGAUUUAAUUAUUGAUGAAACAUUUGGGGUGGUUCUUGCAUGAAUUAAUGAUGAAAUGGCUGAGCAUGGAUCCCAAAGGUUAUCUUUGCCAUUAUCUUUGAAGUCUUUA